rnacentral:rRNA from 1 species
AUUCUGUGAGCAAGGAAAGCGAGGGGAUCGCAAGACCUUGCGCUGAUUGAGCGGCCGAUAUCAGAUUAGCUAGUUGGUGAGGUAAAGGCUCACCAAGGCGACGAUCUGUAGCGGGUCUGAGAGGAUGAUCCGCCACACUGGUACUGAGACACGGUCCAGACUCCUACGGGAGGCAGCAGUGGGGAAUUUUGGACAAUGGGCGCAAGCCUGAUCCAGCCAUGCCGCGUGAGUGAAGAAGGCCUUCGGGUUGUAAAGCUCUUUCGGCCGGGAAGAAAUCGCACAGGUUAAUACCCUGUGUGGAUGACGGUACCGGAAUAAGAAGCACCGGCUAACUACGUG